GAUGAACGCUGGCGGCGUGCCUAAUACAUGCAAGUCGAGCGAACAGACGAGGCGCUUGCUCCUCUGACGUUAGCGGCGGACGGGUGAGUAACACGUGUAUAACCUCCCUAUAUGACUGGGAUAACUUCGGGAAACCGGAGCUAAUACCGGAUAAUAUAUUGAACCGCAUGGUUCAAUAGUGAAAGACGGUUUUGCUGUCACUUAUAGAUGGAUCCGCGCCGCAUUAGCUAGUUGUUAAGGUAACGGCUUACCAAGGCAACGAUGCGUAGCCGACCUGAGAGGGUGAUAGGCCGCACGGGAAGGGAGACAGGGUCCAGAGUCCUGAGAGAGGCAGCAGUAGGGAAUCUGCCGCAAUAGGCGAAAGCCUGACGGAGCAGGGGGGAGUGAGAGAUAAAGGUCUUCGGAGCGUAAAGCUCUGUUAUGAGGGAAGAACAAAUGUGGAAGGAACUAUGCACGGAGUGACGGUACCGAGUCAGGAAGCCACGGCUAACUACGUG
rnacentral:rRNA from 1 species